GACGAACGCUGGCGGCGUGCUUAACACAUGCAAGUCGAGCGGAGCGGCGAACGGGUGAGUAACGCGUGAGUAACUGCCCCCCUCUCUGGGCUGACAGUUGGAAACGGCUGCUAAUACCGGAUAGUGGGGGAUGACUCGCGUCCUAUCAGCUUGUUGGUGGGGUAGGGGCCUACCAAGGCGACGACGGGUAGCCUGCCUGAGAGGGCGACCGGCCACAUUGGGCUGAGAUACGGCCCAAACGCGUACGGGAGGCAGUAGUGGGGAGUAUUGCGCAAUGGGGGAAACCGUGAUGCAGCAACGCGGGGGCGGGAUGCCGGCCUUCGGGUUGUAAACCGCUUUCAGCCAUGACGCGGUAGUGGCAGAAGAAGCACCGGCUAACUACGUGCCAGCAGCCGCGGUAAUUC
rnacentral:rRNA from 1 species